rnacentral:rRNA from 1 species
AGUGAACGCUGGCGGUAGGCCUAACACAUACCAGUCGAACGGCAGCACAGUAAGAGCUUGCUCUUACGGGUGGCGAGUGGCGGACGGGUGAGGAAUACAUCGGAAUCUACUUUUUCGUGGGGGAUAACGUAGGGAAACUUACGCUAAUACCGCAUACGACCUACGGGUGAAAGCAGGGGAUCUUCGGACCUUGCGCGAUUGAAUGAGCCGAUGUCGGAUUAGCUAGUUGGCGGGGUAAAGGCCCACCAAGGCGACGAUCCGUAGCUGGUCUGAGAGGAUGAUCAGCCACACUGGAACUGAGACACGGUCCAGACUCCUACGGGAGGCAGCAGUGGGGAAUAUUGGACAAUGGGCGCAAGCCUGAUCCAGCCAUACCGCGUGGGUGAAGAAGGCCUUCGGGUUGUAAAGCCCUUUUGUUGGGAAAGAAAAGCAGCAGGUUAAUACCCCGCUGUUCUGACGGUACCCAAAGAAUAAGCACCGGCUAACUUCGUG